rnacentral:tRNA from 1 species
GCAAACGUAGCUUAGCUUAAAGCGUAACCUUGAAGACGUUAAGAUGGACCCUAGAGUGGUCCCGAUUGCA